GACGAACGCUGGCGGCGUGCCUAAUACAUGCAAGUAGAACGCCGAAGGAGGAGCUUGCUUCUCGAGAUGAGUUGCGAACGGGUGAGUAACGCGUAGGUAUCCUGCCUGGUAGCGGGGGAUAACUAGUGGAAACGAUAGCUAAUACCGCAUAAUAGUAGAUGAUGCAUGACAUUCGCUUAAAAGGUGCAAUUGCAUCUGUACCAGAUCGACUUGCGUUGUAUUAGGUAGUUGGUGGGGUUACGGCUCACCAAGGCGACGAUACAUAGCCGACCUGCGAGGGUGAUCCGCCACACCGGGACUGAGACACGGCCCAGGCUCCUACGGGAGGCAGCAGGAGGGAAACUUCGGCAAUGGACGGAAGUCUGACCGAGCCACGCCGCGUGAGUGAAGAAGGUCCUCGGAUCGUAAAGCUCGGUUGUAAGAGAAGAACGAGUGUGGGAGUGGAAAGUUCACACUGUGACGGUAUCUGAACAGAAAGGGACGGCUAACUACGUG
rnacentral:rRNA from 1 species